GCGGCUGCGAGCGGCCGGCGUGCGCCGAUCGGUCGGAGCUAACCGCUGCCAGGCGGGCUGCCCGCGGCCCGGCACACGCCGCAGUCGAGCGAAGAUGGUGGGCCGGAACAGCGCCAUCGACGCGGGCGUGUGCGGUGCCCUCUUCAUCGGGUACUGCAUCUACUUCGACCGCAAAAGGCGGAGUGACCCCAACUUCAAGAACAGGCUUCGAGAACGAAGAAAGAAACAGAAGCUUGCUAAGGAAAGAGCCGGGCUUUCCAAGUUACCUGACUUAAAAGAUGCCGAGGCUGUUCAGAAAUUCUUCCUUGAAGAGAUACAGCUUGGUGAGGAGUUACUAGCACAAGGUGACUACGAGAAAGGUGUGGACCACCUGACAAAUGCCAUUGCUGUGUGUGGACAGCAUCACCUGAGUUUUUAA